ensembl:lncRNA
AGUGCGGUUGUUAUUUACUUGGAUGCUCCUGGAACGAGAUCCACCUGCUUUUCCUGGACUCCUCCCAGGGCCUUGGUACAGAUGGGAAAAUCCAUCUUCCAUCUGCUGACUUCUGCUGCAGGUCUGUGUCUGCUCUUUAAGGCCUCUCUCGCAAACUCACAGCACCAGAGGAAGACCUGCUUCACAAGGAACUGUUCAGGAAGUGGCUCUGAGGAGGGGAGGUUGAGGAAAUCCCAAAGAAAUGGUUUGGUUCUUCCCAGCAAGGAAUGCUGGAUGCAGCCACUUCAUCCCUGGGCUCACCCCGGAAAGGUGACGACAUCACCCAGAAAUGUUCUCCUCUGAGCUGGUCCCAGGGAUGAGCUGCUGGGAGGGAUCAAACAUUUACAGCUCCGGAGGGACAGAGAGGUUUGUGCGGGCUCCAUCACCUUUGGACUCCGAGUCUGUGGUUGCCAUGUGUGCACAUUUUCAACUUUCUGCAAAAGCACCAGGAUUUGAUAUAAUGCAGGAGGAGACACUUUUAAUAAGAUCCUUAAUUGAGGCCUGUCCCUGUCAAGACAACGUGAAAACAGAUGCUAAGAUUCCUCUGCUCCUUUCUAAAAUCCUGAAUCAUAUCAUUUUAAGCAGGAAGCAUUUUUUUCAUCCAAAGAAAAGAAGAAAAAAAAAAAGAAAUUAAAAUACAACUUUUUUUAGCUGAUUGACUGUGAAAAUAGGGAUAGAACCAAGUAAAAAACUUGGUGCAAUCUUUCAAAUAUGAACCAAAUGUAUCAAAUAAGGAUUUAUCUUUCCAGUAAUCUAAACCCUACAGCUUCUCUCUGUUAAUCUAGCCCAAUGUCAAAGGUAGCCAAGCUUGGCUUAGGUUAUUGUAGAUGUUUUCUAAAACUUGGCUAGACUGCAAAUGCCAUGUGCAGUAAAAUCAAGAUCUGACAGCCAAGACAGUGCCAACUGCUUAGUUUUAGUCUGAUUAAACCUCUCUGCCCAUGUCACUCAUCUGUCACCCUGUGCCUGGUGUGAAUGACAUUAAAUAACCUGCAUUUUGUUAUGGUGUUGCUGGAAUUCAGGCUCUGAAACGCUGCAAGUCACAUUGUGUUUGCACACACUUUGAGCGUCCAGGAGAUCUGAAAAACUCAUUUCGCUCUCUUCUGCUUGGAAGGUUUCAAAACUCCUUUGGCUUUUGCGUUUGGAAGAGUUUUAAGUCACUGUGAACUCAGCAGAGCCCGAGGGACAUCACUGCCCUGGGUGUCUGUGUCACUCCCUGCUCAACCUGACCGCCUGGCUGCUGAAGGUGUUCACCUCUGAGCUGGGCAGGGCUCCUGGCAGUGCUCUGAGACCUCCACAGGGACUCCAAGAGCUCUAAAAAGAAAUCAAAUUACACUGAUAACGUGGCCUUCUGCCCAGGAGUAACUCUGCAAAGCUCUGUAUUUAACCUGAGCUUUUUCCUAGCAGAUUAUCACUGAAAAGUCAGUGGUUCUGUGAGGAAAUACAUUUUGGUGUAGAGUGGAACAGGAACUCAAGGAACAGUUUCCUUUUCUCUGGGGAGGGUGACUCAAAAUCCAGGUUCUCCUCCUCUGUUCACAGGUAAUGCUGUAUCACAGAAUCAUUUCUGUUGGAAAGGACCUUUAAAAUCAACAUGUCCAGCUGCUGAGGCUCAUCUUAACUCUUCAAAUUCUCUUCUCUCCUGGCAAGGCCUGAUGGAGCCUGUAUAAACUGGAAUCUUUGAGUCUAUAAACCACAAAUUAUCUCCCAGAAAAAUAUAAAUCACUUACUUAAAGACCAAUAGUCAUAACCAGACCAUAGUUAUGACUAUGGAAGAACUGAAAUGUUUGUGCUGCACAAUCCAGCUGGUCACAAAAAGAUCUCACCUCCCUGGAAUUAUACAAUUUACACUGAGCUCAUGUAGAAGUUGAGGCAGCAUCAAAGUUCAGGUCUGGACCUGAAAUCCCACCCAGCAUUUGAUGUGAUUUGGAAUCCCUGGUGCUCUGUGGCUGGAUUUAGGCAGGAAAAUGGUCCAGGUGCCUGAUUCUGGCCCCUGUAAGUCAUCCUUCAGCUGCCGGUCUCUCCUCCAGCACAGUGGCUUCGGUUCACACCACUGGCGCUGCAGAAAACACAUUCAAAACUCACCACAAUGAUUUGUUUUCCUUCAUUCAGACUUGCUUUUACCAGUUUUAUCAGUGCCAAGCAGGACCAGCCCUUUGAAGACUCCCUUUGAAAACCUUUCUCUUGUGAGCGUUGGGUGUCCCCUCCACGGAGCACCGCACGGGGCCAGGCCUGCCAAAACCCUCUGAGAAACUGCCCUUCCCUUCCCUCACGGCCCACACUGCCUUUUGUGGCUCACUCUUUAGAGAUCUGCAGGGAAGAACAGAUGGAAUAAAUCGUCUGCUGGUAGCCA